UACGUAGGGUGCAAGCGUUUGUCCGGAAUUAUUGGGCGUAAAGAGUUCGUAGGCGGUUUGUCGCGUCGGCUGUGAAAGCCCGGAGCUCAACUCCGGGUCUGCAGUCGAUACGGGCAGACUUGAGUGUUGCAGGGGAGACUGGAAUUCCUGGUGUAGCGGUGAAAUGCGCAGAUAUCAGGAGGAACACCGGUGGCGAAGGCGGGUCUCUGGGCAACAACUGACGCUGAGGAGCGAAAGCGUGGGGAGCGAACAGG
rnacentral:rRNA from 1 species